GACGAACGCUGGCGGCGUGCCUAAUACAUGCAAGUAGAACGCUGAAGAUAGGAGCUUACUCUUCUUGGAUGAGUUGCGAACGGGUUAGUAACGCUUAGGUAACCUGCCUUGUAGCGGGGGAUAACUAUUGGAAACGAUAGCUAUUACCGCAUAACAAUGGAUGACACAUGUCAUUUAUUUGCAAGGUUCAAUUUCUCCACUACAAGAUGGACCUGCGUUGUAUUAGCUAGUAGGUGAGGUAAUGGCGCACCUAGGCGACGAUACAUAGCCGACCUGAGCAGGUGAUCGGACAGACUGGGAGGGAGAAAGGGCCCAGACACCCAGGGGAGACAGCAAUAGGGAGUAGUAGGCAAGGGGGGUCAGCAAGACAGAGCAACGCGGCGUGAGUGAAGAAGGUGUACGGAUAGUAAAGCUCUGUUGUAAGUCAAGAACGGGUGGGAGAGAGGAAAGUUCAGAGGGAGGAGGUAGCUUACGAGAAAGCGACGGCUAACUACGUG
rnacentral:rRNA from 1 species